GUUUGUGUGGAAGAGAAGAUCGUUGAGCCGUCGGCAGUGAACAAAUGGCUAGUGAUUGCUAGGGUUCACACAACUAGAUGGUUUAGUCCCACCGCCCUUUACUCAGAUAUGAGAUCGACGUGGAAUCCGGCAAGAGAGGUGGUCUGGAGGAAGGUUGAGGAUAACCUUUUCACUGUCCAAUUUGGUUGUCUUGCUGAUUGGAACAAGGCGAUGACCAUGGGGCCCUAG
rnacentral:rRNA from 1 species